GGAAGAAGCUGUUCCUGAGUCAUUGAAUGUGUGCUUUCAGGAUCCUGUGCUUCCGUCCUGAUGGUAUCAAUGAGAACAAGAAAGUAGUGGCAUGCAAACUCGGCCAGUUCCAUCACAAGUCACCAUCGAGGACAGCUUCAGGAGAUGGUGCCUUAAGAAGCACCAUCCAUCGUUCAGGACCCUCACCAUCCGCAAGGUGCCCUUUUCUCAUCACUACCAUCAGGGAGGAAGUACAGGAGCCUGAAGACCCACACUCAAUACUUUAAAAACAGAUUCUUCCACAGUCCAGCCUACAGUAAAGUCCAAGAUCCAAGAUCUGUGGUCUCUUUUGCAUGCCUCACUUUCUUUAUCUCUUCAUUGGUGAUGAUAACUUCAACAGUCUAGGUGCACAACUCUGGACUUGAAUUGUGUUCUUUAAUUGAAGUCUAAUAAGAUUCUGUGCAAUGAAGCCUCCCGGGCACAGCAGCUAAAUGGCACUGGCACCUGUGACGAGACACGCA